rnacentral:lncRNA from 1 species
AUGUGAUCACGAGUUCUUUUGUACACACGCAAGGGAGAAGACAUGUAAAAGACACAAAGUAUUCAUCAUUACAUGAAUAAGUGCUCAAUGGCCUCGAAGGAUCGCAUCAAAUUUAUACAUUUUACCAUGCAAAAAUAUUCCUAUAGCCAAUUUCUACGGUUAGAGUUAUAUUCUAUGAUCAUAACUAUAUUAGCUGAACUUACUCAUCUUUUUAUUUGUGUAAUUUUAUAUUAGCUAAACAUUCUCCCACGAUCUAUUUACUUAAGCUAACUCUACCUAUUUCUAAAUAGGAACAGGCUUUGCAUGAAACCUAAAGAGCUGGCUUCUCAACAGGGAGCUUUUAUUGGCAAGAAAUUUAAUGGGAAUGGACUCCUAGUAAAUUGAAAUUAUUAUUGGAAUUGACACAUCUCUAGCUUUUUGAUUGAUCCCUUCUCUUCCAUUGUUCACAGUGCACCAUAACUUAAUGAUUUAUGACAUUUUUCCGUUGCAUUUUCUGAUAUGCAUAUGAUUUUGUCCUCAACUAAUUCAAGACAUUUAUGGAAACCUCUUUAAUACGAGUUACCCAUAGCAUUAGAGCUCAUUGAAUGAUAAACUUAUUCCUAUUAGGAAGCAUUAAUUAAGCUUCUUCAGUGUUUGUUACCUAGAUGAAAUGAGAUAGGAAUUACAUUCUUUCGAUACUAGUGACAAAUUUUUAGAAUCCACGUG